rnacentral:rRNA from 1 species
AUUGAACGCUGGCGGAAUGCUUUACACAUGCAAGUCGAGCGGCAGCACGGGGGCAACCCUGGUGGCGAGCGGCGAACGGGUGAGUAAUACAUCGGAGCAUGCCCAGUCGUGGGGGAUAACACUUCGAAAGAAGUGCUAAUACCGCAUACGUCCUGAGGGAGAAAGCGGGGAUCUUCGGACCUCGCGCGAUUGGAGUGGCCGAUGUCAGAUUAGCUAGUUGGUGGGGUAAAGGCCUACCAAGGCAACGAUCUGUAGCUGGUCUGAGAGGAUGAUCAGCCACACUGGGACUGAGACACGGCCCAGACUCCUACGGGAGGCAGCAGUGGGGAAUUUUGGACAAUGGGGGCAACCCUGAUCCAGCCAUUCCGCGUGAGUGAAGAAGGCCUUCGGGUUGUAAAGCUCUUUCGGCAGGAACGAAACGGCGAGCUCUAACAUAGCUUGCUAAUGACGGUACCUGAAGAAGAAGCACCGGCUAACUACGUGCCAGCCGCCGCCGUAAUAC